rnacentral:rRNA from 1 species
AGCGAACGCUGGCGGCAGGCCUAACACAUGCAAGUCGAACGGAUCCUUCGGGAUUAGUGGCGGACGGGUGAGUAACACGUGGGAACGUGCCCUUUGGUUCGGAACAACUCAGGGAAACUUGAGCUAAUACCGGAUGUGCCCUUCGGGGGAAAGAUUUAUCGCCAUUGGAGCGGCCCGCGUCUGAUUAGCUAGUUGGUGAGGUAACGGCCCACCAAGGCGACGAUCAGUGGCUGGUCUGAGAGGAUGAUCAGCCACACUGGGACUGAGACACGGCCCAGACUCCUACGGGAGGCAGCAGUGGGGAAUCUUGCGCAAUGGGCGAAAGCCUGACGCAGCCAUGCCGCGUGAAUGAUGAAGGUCUUAGGAUUGUAAAAUUCUUUCAGCGGGGACGAUAAUGACGGUACCCGCAGAAGAAGCUCCGGCUAACUUCGUG